rnacentral:rRNA from 1 species
GACGUAGGGGGCCAGCGUUGCUCGGAAUUACUGGGCGUAAAGGGUUCGUAGGCGGUGUGGCAAGUCGGGAGUGAAAUCUCUGGGCUUAACUCAGAGGCUGCUUCCGAAACUGCCGUGCUAGAGUGCGGGAGGAGGCGAGUGGAAUUGCAGGUGUAGCGGUGAAAUGCGUAGAUAUCUGCAGGAACACCCGUGGCGAAGGCGGCUCGCUGGACUGCAACUGACGCUGAGGAACGAAAGCUAGGGGAGCAAACAGG